CUGGUACAGGCCUGUACUGUACGCACAGAUCCAAUCAAAAACACUUGGAGUGAAGUUUAAAGUGUGUGUUUCUCCCCUUUUCUUUUCUUUCUUUUUUUUUUAUUAUUGACCUCAUUCCAGACUUAGUUUGGGAAUUGCAUGUCAAAUCACCCCCUCCUCUCCCCCCUCCUCUGUCUGGAAACGGGUAAAUGCGUUCCGUUUGUCAAAGCGUGUUAGCGAAGCGCCUGCAGCAAAUUCAUUACCGCCCAACUGCGAGGCUCACUUCGCAACCUGGUCAGGGAAGAAGGAGGGAGAGGUCCACGCCAAAAAAAAAAAAAAAAAAAAAAAAAAACCCCGAACAAUGCCGCCUCAGUUCGUGCGUGCAACAAAAGAACCGAGGGAACUUGUUUGAAUUUCAGAGCACGUCCUCUUCUCACACAGAAGGAUGGACUUUACAUCCCCGCCUCCCCCACCCCCCACCCCUCCUCAUCAUCAUCAUCACCCCCCCACCCAUCCCUUCCUCCUCAUCCGACCCCACCAUCAACAGGGAGAAAAAAAAAAAAACUUGCACACUGUGAGAGCUCAACUGUGCAUGCACUUUUUUUUUCCUAUUUGGUGCUUGUAGACGUUAUGGGAAAGUUGUCUCUCUCCCUUCUCCUCCCCAUCCCUCCCCUCUGUCCUUCUCCUCUCGUCUUGUCAUGUGCUCGGGAUGUGCUCAUGCUUUGCACAGAGAGCAGCUGUAGCACGCCUAAUGCAGGUUACAGAGUGUUAGCGGCAAUUUUAAAGUCCCCCCCCCCCCCCCCCCCCCACCUUCCACCUCCACCCAUCUCCGCCGCCACCAAAUAAUACGGCCGGGAUAUUGGAGGGGAACGUAUACCGCACCACGUACACGCGGAGCCCGCUCUUCCUCUCCUGCUUGGGACGCCUUCCUGACCGCUUGCAAGUGAUUUGACUCGCCAUUAGAAAUGAUGGAGAGAAAGAGCUGUGAAGAAGAAGUGCAGGCAGCAGGAAGUAGAGGUCAACACCAGAUCUCUGGGAUUUUGCUCUCCACUGGACCCACAUGAGGUUGGAUGGACACGUCAUUGAUUGUGACCCAUAAACAAGUGGCAUAAUGACUGGAGUCUCCACACUAAAGACGUCAAGGAUAUUCAGCUGAUCUCAGAGGUGGAUGAUUCUCCUGAUCAAGUGGAAAGGAGCCUGAAUUUCAGCAAGAAAGAACCAUCAAGAUAUAUCUCACAUGCUUUAGUGACAAUCUCACUAUGACCUGCACUGUACUUUAUAUUUCUGUAUUUCUGUCAACUAGUUCUAAGAUUGUUGACCAAACUGACAAUCCUCUCAACAAUGGACUGAAAAUAGUCAAUCCAACAAAUUCUUUGACUUUGCUCCAAUAGGCAUCAAUGUAUUUAUUUUUAAAUUUUUAUACGGGAGAACACUUCCCAAAAUAAGAUAAAAAUAUUCCACACAUUAAAACUUGCACCUAUUUCAUGUAAUUGAUUGAGUCUAACAAGGAUAUUUUUUGACAGCUAAAUAAAGACUUUUUUCUCCCUUUAAGUGAUGUUUUAAGUGUGAGUUAUUUCCAUCUUUUCUGUGGCACUCCAGGUAAAGAAAAAUGUGCUUGACAUAAUUGGG
ensembl:lncRNA